rnacentral:rRNA from 1 species
AUUGAACGCUGGCGGCAGGCCUAACACAUGCAAGUCGAGCGAGCUGCGGACGGGUGAGUAAUGUAUGGGAGCUGCCCGAUAGAGGGGGCUAACUACUGGAAACGGUGGCUAAUACCGCAUACUAUCGGAUAACCCAUAUGGGAUUAGCUAGUAGGUGGGGUAAGGGCGCACCUAGGCGACGAUCUCUAGCUGGUCUGGGAGGAUGAUCAGCCACAAUGGGACUGAGACACGGCCCAGAUGCGUCCGGAGGCAGCAGUGGGGAAUAUUGCACAAUGGGCGCAAGACUGAUGCAGCAAUGGCGCGUGUAUGAAGCAGGCCUUAGGGUUGUAAAGUACUGUCAGUGGGGAGGCGUUACCUGCAGAAGAAGCAACGGCUAACUCCGUGCCAGCAGCCGCGGUAAUAC